rnacentral:lncRNA from 10 species
CGCCGGCUCCCGGGCUCGCGCGCGUUGCCAAGCGGCCGUUUCCUUAGCAACCCCGCCAGGGGACUGGGGAUGGAGAAGGGAGGGGGAUUAAAAAAAUAAUAAAAAAAGAAAGAAAAAAGAUAGCAAGAAAAAAAAAAGAAAAGCAAGACAACGAAAAAAAAAAUAGGAGGAACUGUAUCACAAUUAUGCAAACUAAGGGGGAAAGAGAGGCACCUUAGAAUGAAGGCUCUCCUUACUGUCGUAAGCGCUAGAGGGAUUCUUUGCUAGAAAAGUCUCCGUGUCAGGGCUGGGGUGAAGAGAGCUGAGGGGCGCUUUGCCUUCCCUCACCGGUGCGUUUUACCUCUCGAGGCACCGUAAGUUUGAAGUCCUCCAAGUUGUGGUCGGCGCCAUCAUGACGCCGGCGACUGAAUUGCUGUCUCUUCCAGUCUUCAUUGUUAAGCAGAUGCUGAAAUGCACACUCUACAAACCACUGGGAGCAUAGAAUACUUUCUACCAGAUUAUCUACACAACCUAAUGAGG